CCAGCCAUGGACGGCGGCGGUUUUGGCCUUGAGAGUUUUGCGUAAGCAAAACUCUGAGAUGAAAAAGGUACAAGGAUGUACUUUUUCAUCGGCC
rnacentral:sRNA from 1 species